CGUUGAGCGUCCGUCUUCAAAGCCUCUUCAAACUCACUAGUUUCAGCAUCAAGGAAAGACAGGUUCAUAAGCUGACAUGACGGCUGAUUCUCAAAUCUUGUAAUGGAAGCAAUGUCAGCUUUAAACCAUAAAGUGAAGCCUGCAUUUAAUAACAGACAAUUCUCUUUGAACCCAAGACAGGAUUCUGCAAGAAAGUUCCAGGGGAUUAGGUGUUUUAUGAACUGCUCAAACCAAUCAAUCUAACCGCAGCAAUCAUGCCACAUUCAAAGUUGCUUAAAUUCAAAUCAAGCAUGAAAAUGAGGAAAUGGGAUUUCAGCAAGUCAUCUUCACAUUUAGAUUCGUAAGUGCAUUGUGUUGCUGCCAAGUGAUGUGCCUGAGUUGCUAUUGCUGUUAAGAAAUUGAACAGGAGUAACUAAUAAAGAAGCCGUUUACUGUAUAGUCAAGUUUGUAUUGGCCCUCACAUCUGCUGCACAUUUCAAAUCCUUCAGAUAUACUUCACACUUGGCUUUGCACUUUCAUAGUUCCAGUUUUACCACUUCUUAUACCUACCCUACAUUUUAAAUAUUGCCUCUUAAUUCUGACCUACUUCCAUUUUUCAGGACAUUAUCAAUUUAUUAUUGAUAAUUUGCUUUACCUGCCCAUUCAUACAACAGAAAUAGAAAAUCCUCGUCCUUUGGAACAUGUACU